rnacentral:misc_RNA from 1 species
GAUGAAGAACGCAGCGAAAUGCGAUAAGUAAUGUGAAUUGCAGAAUUCAGUGAAUCAUCGAAUCUUUGAACGCACCUUGCGCCCUUUGGCUAUUCUGAAGGGCAUGCCUGUUUGAGUAUCGUGAACACCUCAACUCUCAUGGUCUGCCAUGAUGAGCUUGGACUUUGGGGGUCUUGCUGGCCUACUGUCAGCUCCUCUCAAAUGAAUCAGCUUACCAGUGUUUGGUGGCACCACAGGUGUGAUAACUAUCUACGCUUGUGGUUUUCUGCCAGGUAACCUCCAGUGAUGGAGGUUCGCUGGAGCUNANAAAUGUCUCUCCUCAGCGAGGACAGCUUUUUGAACGUUUGAUCUCAAAUCAGGUAGGACUACCCGCUGAACUUAAGCAUAUCAAUAAGCGGAGGA